rnacentral:misc_RNA from 1 species
CAGCUAUUGACUCUAACUUUGCACCUAUUUCUAAGUCAAAUCCAAAAGAGGUGAUAACCAGAUCCUUGAGGGAAGGAGGUAACUUGCCUAAGAAUGUAAGAGAGCCACAGUCAUCAAUUUUCAAAUGCUGGAGAUUUGAUGAGUUAGGGUCACAGUCAAUAAUCUCCUCAUCCAUCAGCCUCUGCAAUUUCUGGCAACGGCUUAUCUGUAGCCAUUUCAGAGUUGGAGGUAGCUGGCGUCUUCCAAAGGAAAUCAGAGAAUCACAACUCUCAAUUUUCAACUCUUCAAGACACAAACUGCUAUAAAUCACUGCAUCUGGCAAAGAAAUAAGUCUUGCACAGCCUUCAAUCAAUAGCUCUCUCAGAGACUUAAAGCUAUGAAG